AGAGUUUGAUCCUGGCUCAGAUUGAACGCUGGCGGCAGGCUUAACACAUGCAAGUCGAGCGGUAACAGAGAUAGCUUGCUAUCUGCUGACGAGCGGCGGACGGGUGAGUAAUGCUUGGGAAUAUGCCUUAUGGUGGGGGACAACAGUUGGAAACGACUGCUAAUACCGCAUAACGUCUACGGACCAAAGGGGGGGAUCUUCGGACCUCUCGCCAUUUGAUUAGCCCAAGUGAGAUUAGCUAGUUGGUGAGGUAAAGGCUCACCAAGGCGACGAUCUCUAGCUGGUUUGAGAGGAUGAACAGCCACACUGGGACUGAGACACGGCCCAGACUCCUACGGGAGGCAGCAGUGGGGAAUAUUGCACAAUGGGCGAAAGCCUGAUGCAGCCAUGCCGCGUGUGUGAAGAAGGCCUUCGGGUUGUAAAGCACUUUCAGUUGUGAGGAAAGGGAUGUAGUUAAUAGCUGCAUUCUGUGACGUUAACAACAGAAGAAGCACCGGCUAACUUCGUGCCAGCAGCCGCGGUAAUACGAGGGGUGCAAGCGUUAAUCGGAAUUACUGGGCGUAAAGCGUUCGUAGGCGGUCUAUUAAGCAAGAUGUGAAAGCCCAGGGCUCAACCUUGGAACUGCAUUUUGAACUGGUAGACUAGAGUACUGUAGAGGGUGGUGGAAUUUCCAGUGUAGCGGUGAAAUGCGUAGAGAUUGGAAGGAACAUCAGUGGCGAAAGCGGCCACCUGGACAGAUACUGACGCUGAGGAACGAAAGCGUGGGGAGCGAACAGGGAUUAGAUACCUGUAGUCACGCCGUAAACGAUGUCAACUAGCCGUUUGUGGACUUGAAUCCGGUGGAGGUGGGGCGCA
rnacentral:rRNA from 1 species